rnacentral:rRNA from 1 species
AUUGAACGCUGGCGGCAGGCCUAACACAUGCAAGUCGAGCGGAUGAAGGGAGCUUGCUCCUGGAUUCAGCGGCGGACGGGUGAGUAAUGCCUAGGAAUCUGCCUGGUAGUGGGGGAUAACGUCCGGAAACGGGCGCUAAUACCGCAUACGUCCUGAGGGAGAAAGUGGGGGAUCUUCGGACCUCACGCUAUCAGAUGAGCCUAGGUCGGAUUAGCUAGUUGGUGGGGUAAAGGCCUACCAAGGCGACGAUCCGUAACUGGUCUGAGAGGAUGAUCAGUCACACUGGAACUGAGACACGGUCCAGACUCCUACGGGAGGCAGCAGUGGGGAAUAUUGGACAAUGGGCGAAAGCCUGAUCCAGCCAUGCCGCGUGUGUGAAGAAGGUCUUCGGAUUGUAAAGCACUUUAAGUUGGGAGGAAGGGCAGUAAGUUAAUACCUUGCUGUAUUGACGUUACCAACAGAAUAAGCACCGGCUAACUUCGUG